rnacentral:rRNA from 1 species
UACUGACUAACUAGUCCAACCACCACAAACUAACCUACCAAUAAUAAACCCAAAAGACCUUAAAGAUCUAACCUAAAACAUUUUUUAGCCUGAGUAGGGGCGACCGAAAAGGAUAUCACGGAACAAUAGAACAAGUACCGCAAGGGAACGUUGAAAUAGAUAUGAAACAGCCCAGUGAAGAAUAAUAAAGCAGAGAUUUAACCUCGUACCUUUUGCAUCAUGAUUUAGUAAGUAAAAUUUAGGCGAGAGGUAUCUUAGUCUACAACCCCGAAACUAAUGUGAGCUACUCCAGGACAGCAUGUCUAUAUAGUGCCAACCCGUCUCUGUUGCAAAAGAGUGGGAAGAGCCUCGAGUAGUGGUGACAAGCCAACCGAACAUAGUAAUAGCUGGUUUUCUGAGAACUGAAUAUAAGUUCAGCCUCUAAAAUUCUUUUGACAAGUAACCCUUAAGUCGAUCAAGCCUCGGCCUAAAAGAAAUUUAGAGAGUUAGUCAAAGGGGGGACAGCUCCUUUGAACAAGCGACAACUUUAACAAGCUGGGUAAGGAUCAUAAUCUUCAAGGUAUUAUUAUCUAAGUAGGCCUGAAAGCAGCCACCACCAUAGAAAGCGUUGUAGCUCAUACAAUAAUAACACCCCUGAUAACGAAAAACUAUUCUUAACCCUCUAAAUAUUAUCAGAAUGUCUUAUACCCCUAUAAGAGUAAUUAUGCUAAAAUUAGUAAUAAGAGAGUUGACCCUCUCCCGACACAAGUGUAACUCGAAAUGGACUAACCCCCGAGAAAUAACGACCCCAAUAAAAGAGGGAUUAGAAAGUGAAACCUGAAGACUAGAAAACUCUUCUACACUCAUCGUUAACCCCACACUGGAGUGUAAAUAAGGAAAGAUUAAAAGAAAAAGAAGGAACUCGGCAAACAUAAGCUUCGACUGUUUACCAAAAACACCGCCUCUUGAAACACAAAAAUGAGAGGUCGUACCUGCCCAGUGAUAUUAAUUCAACGGCCGCGGUAUUAUGACCGUGCUAAGGUAGCGUAAUCAAUUGUCUCUUAAAUGGGGACCCGUAUGAAUGGUGUAACGAGGGCUUAGCUGUCUCCUUUUUCUAAUCAAUGAAAUUGAUCUCUCUGUGCAAAAGCAGGGAUAAAUAUAUAAGACGAGAAGACCCUAUGGAGCUUAAGAUUACAUUAUAGACUACGCCAAGUAAUUUUAGAUAUACUAUUUAAAGCUAAUAGACCUCUAUUAAGAAUCUUCAGUUGGGGCGACUACGGAGAAUAUAAAACCUCCGAGAAGAUUGGGAAUAUAAAUUCUUACAUAUCAGAACCACCAUUCAAAGCAACAAAAAUUUUGACUUUCAUUGAUCCAUUUACGUGAUCAACGGACCAAGUUACCCUAGGGAUAACAGCGCAAUCCCCUUUCAGAGCCCCUAUCGCCAAGGGGGUUUACGACCUCGAUGUUGGAUCAGGACAUCCUAACGGUGCAGCCGCUGUUAAGGGUUCGUUUGUUCAACGAAUAAAGUCCUACGUGAUCUGAGUUCAGACCGGAGUAAUCCAGGUCAGUUUCUAUCUAUAGAUUGAUCUCUUCUAGUACGAAAGGACCGGAGAGAAGAGGUUAAUACCAAAUGUAAACCUUACUUUAGCUUAAUGAAAACAACUCAAAUAGACAAAAAGCACACCCUAAAACUAUAGAAAAUAGAA